ACCAAUGAUGAGUACCAUGGGGUAUCUGAAACAGGAUUUUUGAUUAAACCCAUAUGCAAUUCUGAGGUCCAUUACAAAGAGACACGUAUUAUUCCUUUUUUGGGAAGUGAGCCUAUGGUACCUUUUCCUUGGACUUUGUGGUUCUUGGGGAUGGAUUGCAUUUUUGUUAUAAAAUCAGCCCAUGAAUUAAAAAUUUAUCAAUGAGUAAAACAUAAAGCAUAAGUCAUGUACUUAUUAUCAGUGACUGUAAUGAAACAUGGAUUAUUAUUAAAACUUAUCUGAGACUCCCAAUAAAUUAAUACCCAAGGCUUCUACCAUUCUGGUAAGGAGCAUAUGGUCAUUUGUAUGCAAGAGUCAGUUUUUGUUCUGUGUUGGUGGUGGGUUGCUGACUAUUUUAUGAAGAAAAUGAAGCAUCUUUAAUCAUAUAAAUAGUUGGUUAAAUAACCACUUAAUUGAGACCAAGCAGAGACCAAUGAUGAGUGUAUUAAUCUAUUUUUUAAUGGAUUUUUAUUAAACAAAUAAUAAAAGAAACACAGUCUAUUCUUCCUGAGGGCAAUAACUCUAGACAGAUGUAAAUAUUCUUCAGUGUUCUUGUCCAGUGCUGUGAGAUCACAGAUACUGAUGUCUUUUGUAUAUGAGAAGGAACUUGCAUUUUUAUGUCUCAGUUUAUAUUUUAGAGUCAGCAAACCAUGGACCAAUUAGGAACAAAUGUUAUGAUAUGAGAAUGCUGAUUCUUGUUUUUUUUUUUCAUGAUAGACAUUCUAAGAAAAACUCUAGGCUCUCUCAUUGUUUUUGGAAUACAUACAUGGUUCUUUCCAAGUAGUUUCUUAGAAAAAUGUUUUUAAAAAGAGGCUUUUAAAAAGAGCCUUUUAAAAUGUUUUUAAAAGAAGGCUUUAUUUUUCUCUAUAGAAUGAAAACCAUGUAGCUGGUCUUAUUAUUCUCUAAUCAUGAAGACCAUUAUUGUUAUUUGUGGACUAAGGAGCAGAAAGACUGAUAGUGGACAUAGGCCAGCUGAUUUAAUAAUUUAAGAAAGAACUGUUAUCCUGAGUAAGGAGCAUAGAGACAAAUAUAAAAUGAACGCACUCUACCUGAUUUAAUUAUAGUCUUCUGGUGAAGAUCUUGCUGUUAUCUCUGUGAAUCAGGAGAGAAGAGAUUGAUAAGGAAUAGACGAGAUUGGAUUUGGUCAUUUCCCCAAGGUGAAGAGCAUGGCGAUUUCUUCUGUGGUAAGGAGCAAUAAUGAAGACCAUGGUUGAUUUAAUCAGUCUCUGCUGAUGAAGAUCUUGGCUGUUACCUUUGUGUGUAAGGAAGCUAAAGACUUAAAAUGAAUGCGCAAUGAUUCAAUUAUUCUCCAGCGAGGAAGAUCAUGGUUGUUGUCUGUUUGAGUAAUGAGUGUAGAAACCUAUAAUGGAGGCGUGAUGGCUGAUGCAAUCAUUUUCCACUGAUGAAGGUUUUGAUGGCCACCUGUAAUGAACAGCCCCAUCUGAUUUAAUCACUGUGCAAUGACCGUGAACUGUACAGUUACCUCCGUGUGUCACAGGAAGACUCUUUUGACUUAAGCACCCUUCCAUGGUCAUGAGGUUUCUGGUUGCCUCUGUGUGUUAGAAGCUUGGAGACCAAUGCCUUCUGCUGUGAUCGCGUUCUCCACAGUUGCCUCUGGGUAGGAGCCUGGACACUAAUAGAAAAUGGAUGCACUUGAGCCGACCUAAGCAUUCAUGGUCAUGAGAUUUGUGGUUGCCACUGUUGGUUAGGAGCAUAGAGAUCAGUAAUGGACACACCUGGGCUGGCAGAACAUCUUGCCUUGAUCUGGAGCCCCAUGUCUGCCCCUCUGUAGAGGUGCACAUGGGCCAAUGAUGGAUGCAAUGAGCUGAUCAUUUUGCUGUGAUCAAGGCUAUGUUGCCUCUGUGUUAGGCCAAUGGUUGAUGUUCAUGGGUGAUUGAUCAUCCUGUAGCGACGGUGGUAUUGACUGUUCCCCAGAGGACAAGGAGUGUGUUCUUAUGUGGAGGCUGUCUGCAGUAGGAGCAUGGAGACCAACAAUGGAUGCUCUUAAACUGAUUUAAGCACGCUUCCAUGGUCAGAAGCCUUAUGGUUGCCACAGGGUAUUAGGAGCAUGGAGACCAAUAAUGGAUGUCCUUGUUCUGAUUUGAGGAUGCCUCCAAGGUCACAUACUCUGUUUGCACCACGCUUAGGAAGGAGCGUGAAGACCAAGGGGAGUAAUAGUCAA
rnacentral:lncRNA from 1 species